CCCUUAGAUGUUCUGGGCUGCACGCGCGCUACACUGAUGCAUCCAACAAGUUUUCUCCCUUGUUCGGUAGGACUGGGUAAUCUUUUGAGUAUGCAUCGUGAAGGGGAUAGAUUAUUGCAAUUAUUAAUCUUCAACGAGGAAUUCCUAGUAAGCGCGAGUCAUCAGCUCGUGCUGAUUACGUCCCUGCCCUUUGUACACACCGCCCGUCGCUGCAACUGAUUGGGUGACCUGGUGAACAUCUUGGACCGGCUCACUCAAUUUCGAGAGGACUGGAAAAGGCCGUAAAUCAGGUACAUCUAGAAAUUGCAAAAGUCGUAACA
rnacentral:rRNA from 1 species